AUCCCAAUGUAUUGCACUGUAUAGGGAAUAGUAGAGUGAGGUGCAGCUAUUGUAUGGAUGUCUCAUUAGUCUGCCACCACUAGUCUGCCACCACUAGUCUGCCACCACUAGUCUGCCACCAUUAGUCUGCCACCAGUAGUGUGCCACCAGUAGUCUGCCACCAGUAGUCUGCCACCAGUAGUCUGCCACCAGUAGUCUGCCACCAGUAGUCUGCCACCAGCAGUCUACCACCAGCAGUCUGCCACCAGCGGUUUGCCACCAGCGGUCUACCACCGUAGUCUACCACCAGCAGUCUACCACCGUAGUUUACCACCAGCGGUCUGCCACCAGCGGUCUGCCACCAGCGGUCUGCCACCAGCGGUCUGCCACCAACGGUCUGCCACCAACAGUCUGCCACCAACAGUCUGCCACCAGUAGUCUACUAACAGUAGUCUACUAACAGUAGUCUGCUAACAGUAGUCUACUAACAGUAGUCUGCCACCAGUAGUCUGCCACCAGUAGUCUACUAACAGUAGUCUACCACCAGUAGUCUACUAACAGUAGUCUACCACCAGUAGUCUACUAACAGUAGUCUGCCACCAGUAGUCUACUAACAGUAGUCUACUAACAUAGUCUGCCACCAGUAGUCUGCCACCAACAGUCUACCACCAGCAGUCUGCCACCAGCGGUUUGCCACCAGCGGUCUACCACCGUAGUCUACCACCAGCAGUCUACCACCAGCAGUCUACCACCGUAGUCUACCACCAGCGGUCUGCCACCAGCGGUCUGCCACCAGCGGUCUGCCACCAGCGGUCUGCCACCAACAGUCUGCCACCAACAGUCUGCCACCAGUAGUCUGCCACCGGUAGUCUGCCACCGGUAGUCUACUAACAGUAGUCUAUUAACAGUAGUCUACAACCAGUAGUCUACUAACAGUAGUCUGCCACCAGUAGUCUACUAACAGUAGUCUACUAACAGUAGUCUACCACCAGUAGUCUACUAACAGUAGUCUACUAACAGUAGUCUGCCACCAGUAGUCUACUAACAGUAGUCUACCAC
rnacentral:lncRNA from 1 species